UCCAGGGUGAGGGAGCUGGGGUAUUUAUGUUCCAGGGUGAGGGAGCUGGGGUAUUUAUGUUCCAGGGUGAGGGAGCUGGGGUAUUUAUGUUCCAGCGCCCACCGGUCACUCGCUGAGUCUUGUUCCUGUGGUGGUAUUCAUUCCCAGCACAUUUGGCCUGCUCUGUAGGUGAGCAAAGCCAGCUCCGCUGCUAGAGAAAGCCCUGAGGCAAAGAAAUGCAAGUCUUGGCAGCUGGAAGUCAGGCUGGUGUGCCGAAAUGGUCAAAGCAAGGGCUGUGGGCAGGCCCUUGCAGUAUCUGCUACACAGCCCCUGCCACUAGCCCUCCUGGCAGCUCUUUCUACCUCUGAGUUCAGUAACAGCUCCCCCUCACUCAGUCCUGGGGGUCUGUAUAUGUUGGGGGUGGUUAUGACAUUAUCUCUUAGGGCUUCCCUAUCCCCCUCACUUCUCUCUUCUUCUUUAUUCAUGAAAUUACUCAAUCCGAAAAUGCUCUUUCCUAUCAGGACCCCACUAAAACAGUAUCCUGCACAAAAUAGAACAUAGCAGGAUGGGCGCAGUGGCUCACACCUGUAAUCCCAGCAUUUUGGGAGGCUGAGGAGGGCGGAUCACCUGAGGUCACGAGUUCGAGACUAGCCUGGUCAACAUGAUGAAAUCCUGUCUGUACUAAAAAUACAAAAUUUAGCUGGGCAUUGUGGCGGGUGCCUAUAAUUCCAGCUACUUGGGAGGCUGAGGCAGGAGAAUUUCUUGAACACAGGAGGUGGAGGUUGUGGUGAGCCGAGAUCGUGCCACUUCACUCCAGCCUGGGUGACAGAGCGAGACUCCAUCUCAGAAAAAAAAAAAAAAAAAAAAGAAGGCCGGGCACGGUAGCUCAAGCCUGUAAUCCUAGCACUUUGGGAGGCCGAGGUGGGCGGAUCACGAGGUCAGGAGUUUGAGACCAUCCUGGCCAACAUAGUGAAACCCUGUCUCUACUAAAAAUACAAAAAAAUUAGCAGGGCGUGGUGGCAGGCGCCUGUAGUCCCAGCUACUCGGGAGGCUGAGGCAGGAGAAUGGCGUGAACCCGGGAGGCGGAGCUUGCAGUGAGCUGAGAUGGUGCCACUGCACUCCAGCCUGGGGGACAGAGCCAGACUCUGUCUCAGAAAAAAAAAAAAAAAAAAAAAAAAAAACAUAGCACAUGGUGACAUUAGGUAAAAAGUGCUGGAUCAGUAAAGUCGAGUUGAUUGGCUAAUAAAUGUUGAUUGAAUGAUUGUACAUAGAUUGGACAAGAAACUUAGUACCAAAACCUAAUAUUUAUAUUGUUCUGUAACCAUAAGAAAAAUUAAAUCAUGAUCUAGGGCUUAAAAAAAAACAGAGAGAGAGAGGGAGAAAAAGAGAAAGAAAAAAAUAGAAACAGUACCAGGAACCAGGAGGAAAUGGGGAAUUUUUAGUGAGGAGGAUGUAGAAAAGAGUCCUACCACGCACUUUUCCCUGUGCAAUGCCUCAUUAAAAGCAGAAAACGCACGUCUCAUUAGUCCCAAGUUACAGAUGAGGAUACCGAGGCUCCAAGGGGCUAAAUAGCUUGGGCAGGGCCCUAGGGCCGCCUCACCCCAGCCCAGCUGUGUUCCUCGUGGCCCCAGGAAGCCAGCAGGCACGGAAAGACUGGCCUUCUGAACCACAGAGGAUGCCCAGCAGAGCAGGCGCUGUGUUGGGAAAAUAAAUAACCUCUCGCUUGGAAAAGUUUAGGGUUGUACUUGGCAGAUUUGUUUGGAACAAAAUUUGCACUAUCGACUCCGUGGCAAAUGGAAACCUCUCGUGGACACUCUCUGGGCUUCAGAGAUCUGAAAUGUUUAAAAGAGGCCGGACCAAACAUGAUAAAAUUGCCAGAGGAAGCUGAGCUCAGGUGGUGCCUGGGAUGAGAAGACUGCCUCUUUUGUCUCCGCUCCCAUCUGUGAAAUUGACGCGUUACUUUGAACUGCUUCCUCCCCUCCCAGGGAGGGCUCCAGGGGUGUUGCUCAGGACUGCGGUUUAAAAACAAUAUCCCCAAGCAAGCAAGGGGCGAGGGAAAGAGGCUCAGGAACUUCUUGGGCUAUGCUCAAGAGAAUGCACCAGCCAAAGGGGACAUUUUACCACUCACACGCAAUUAGCCCUGGGGCUGCCUUGAGAUUGUAGCAAUGAUCAUCUUACCGUAAUUGGCCCACUGCCCCUGAUGGGCUGGUUAUUUCUGCUUCCAUGGCCAAUUCUGAUUGCAGAGAUUCAUGGGAGCUCAUUGGAAAUGGGGGAUUAUUGCAAGGAGAUGAGUGACCUGGACUCCCAAGGCCUCCAGGCAAGGGAGUAGCUCCAGAAUGUACAGCCCUCCGUGGUCCCUCUCCUGGCCUCUCCCUCCACCCCGCCAGCUCCUCCUCUUGCCCCACAUCCAAAGCCUUGCUCUCUAGCACGGCCUUUCACCUUCCCCUCCCACAGCUAAGUGCCUCCAAUUCCUGGCUUUCUCAGCUUUAUUUCCCAGAAGGAGGAGCCCAGCGGAGCCAGCCAUGUCACGACUCCUGUCGGAGCAUGUUACAGACAAUGAUCACCGACCAGUUCUCUAGCCGUGGAGGAGCGGCCACCUUUUAUCUUGUCAGCCAGGAGGGCCAGGCAUGGUGGUGUGUGCCUGUAGUCCCAGCUAUUUGGGAGGCUGAGGCGGGAGGAUUGCUUGAGCCCAGGAGACCGUGGCUGCAAUGAGCUGUGAUCACACCACUGCACUCCAGCCUGGGUGGCAGAGCAAGACCCCAUCUCUCAAUAAAUAAAUAAAUAAAUAAAUAAAU